rnacentral:rRNA from 1 species
UACAGAGACUGCAAGCGUUAUUCGGAUUCACUGGGCGUAAAGGGUGCGCAGGUGGCCAAGUGUGUUAGGCGUGAAAGCCCGGGGCUUAACCCCGGAAUUGCACCUAAAACUACUUGGCUAGAGCAUUGGAGAGGGGAGCAGAAUUCAUGGUGUAGCAGUGAAAUGCGUAGAUAUCAGGAGGAACACCAAUGGCGAAGGCAGCUCGCUGGGACGGUACUGACGCUGAGACGCGAAAGCGUGGGGAGCAAACAGG